rnacentral:lncRNA from 1 species
AACUUUCUCAUACAGUUCAUCAUUUGAUGGUACUGAAAUGUCAUGGGAUUCAGAUAUAUUAAUGGAAGAUAACUCUGACAUAGAAAGCUAUAGAAAUGAUAUAAACACCGAAGAUGCCUGUAAAUUGUACAUAGAGGAAAAAAAUUUAUAGUUUUUAAAUCAUGCUUGCUAGGCCUAUUUCAACAAUGUGCAAACUGUAAAUCGGAGGUUGAAAUUGACUUGUGAACAAUUGGAACAUUUUUAUCUGUCAAGCAAACAUGUAAUGUAUGUUCACAUACUCGAAUACAGCAUAGCCAACCAGUUAGUCAAGGUUAUCCAAUUGGGAAUAUUUUAAUGUCAUCAGCGUUACUAUCAGCAGGAUUGUUGCCAAGUCCAGUAAUUCGAUUCUUUCAAUUUAUGAACUGUGCAUCUAUUGCAAAAUCUACAUUCUUUCGACAUCAGAAUACAUCUGUUCAACCAGCCAUUAGAUUAGAAUGGGAAAAAAUCCAAUCAGAAAUAAUAUCAUCUUCGAAGGCUAGUGGCAAUAAAUUAUCAAUUGGAGGUGAUGGAAGGUGCGUCAGCCCGGGAUACAGUGCAAAAUAUGGAUCAUACACAUUGAUGGACUUGGAACGUGGUCUAGUUAUUGAUUCACAACUAAUACAGAGCAAUGAAGUGUAGGGAAGUACCAACAUGGAAAAAGAGGGCUGCAUAAGAGGAAUGACAUUUUUGAAGAAACAAGAAUUAGAUGUAAAUGUGUUAGUCACUGACAGACAUGUUGAAAUAACAAAGUGGAUGAAGGACCACAUGACAGGAAUUCAGCACAAAUUUGAUGUAUGGCAUCUGGCCAAAGGACUUCAGAAAAAACUUGAUAAGCUAGCAAAGAAGAAAGGAAGUGACACUAUUGCUGAAUGGACACGUAGCAUAGUGAAUUAUCUGUACUGGUCAAUAAUGUCAACAAAAGAAGAUAAUGAAGACCUUAUUCUAGAAAAAUGGGUGUCAAUAUGCAAUCAUAUACAUAACAAGCAUCAAGGGCAUGGCAAGUUGUACUAAAAGUGCUCUCAUGGCCCACUUGGAAAAUGCAAAUGAAUAAAAAGAAGUUGCAACUUUCUGCUUUGCAUUUCAAUAAAAAUGCUGGGAAGAACAAGCAAUUACUAAAUCUGGAGAGAAAAGAUAUAGCAUUUUAUUUCCGAAAUUCAAAAAGGAGGUCACACUGUGAGAAAAAUUACAGAGAGUAGCUCAUAAGGCUAUACACAUGAUGUAAUGAUAGAAGCAAUCAAAUUGGCUAUCAACAAUGUUACAAUUCACACUACUACCAAUCCACCACCUACAUUAGCUAGUCAAUAUGAGAAACCAUCAAAACCAGAUACUAUAACACAGCACAUGAGUAGAUUCAACUAAAUUAAUUUAUAAUUUAAAACCAAUAUAAUGUGAUGAAU